GUUUGGGGGUUUGGUGGAAGGCUGGUUAAACCAUUUGGUUUUCGACCACUAGGACCCGGGUUCGAUUCCCGCAUUGGGCA
rnacentral:tRNA from 1 species